rnacentral:lncRNA from 1 species
UAGUUUAGCACCAUCCCCCCUUAGUACUGGAUAGUGAUAGAGUUCUCACGAGAUCUGGUUGUUUAAAAGUGUAUAGCGCCUCUUCCCUCUGUCUCUUGUUGCUCUAGCCAUGUGACCUGCCUGCUUCCCCUUUGCCUUCUACCAUGACUGAUAAUUUCCUGAGGCAUCCCCAGAAGAAGCCUGCACAAAGAAGGCAGUGCUCUUCCAUGGGUCACUCCUGAUCUACUUCUCCUGGACUCACCCCAUCUUCUGACCCACACCCACUGCUCUCAUGUUGGCUCAGAGGUGGAAAAUAGACCUCAAAACCUUAACAAGUAAAAUCUUCAGAAAACCAGACUACACGCUCCAACAUUGUGAAUAAAAUGAAAAGGUGUUAGUGAGAGCUGUGCUACAGAUGCAGUCAGACCAAGACGGUGCCAGCCAGGAGCAAAAGUGAAUAUGAAGAGGAAGAGAAAUUGUGAAAUACCUACACACAUAGAGAAGGAUUUCCCCUCAGUUUAUUUCUUUACUCAAUAAUAAUGUACUAUCAGGUAUUAUCUGCUAUUUUAACUCUUCCAGGAGUCCUAAAACUCACUCCCACUUCUAACAGAAACUUGUGGGAAAAGGAUGUCAACUUAGAUCAGUUUUCCUUUAUUUAGUUUCUGAAUUUCUCCAUUAAGUUCAACUACAUAAAAAAGUCAAGCAUUUUUGCUUUGAUUGAUGCCAGAGGCCUCAAAUUCUGUAUAACAAUAACUUCCUUUUUAAUGGUGUUCAGUGUCCUAAGAUAACAAAUCCCUUUUUAAGAAAAUACUUAAUGCAAAAGUGUCCCAUGUUACCAGGAAUUAAGAAUCUUUUAAAAUAUGUGAUAUUUAUCUUCACUGAGACCUACUG